GCUGGCGUAACUCAAUUGGUAGAGUACCCGUUUUGUAAUCGGGUAGUUGAGGGUUCAAAUCCUUUCGUCAGCA
rnacentral:tRNA from 1 species